rnacentral:lncRNA from 1 species
UUUAGAGGAGAGAUUCAGAAAGCUUGUGUUUUGGGCUAUAAUUUUGGUGUACAAAGUUUGUUAUUUGAGUUUUGUAUGAAGAAGUUAAGGUUGUUUGAAGUUAGGGUGUGAAUUGUUUACCGACUAUCACUCUUUUAAGCAUACAGAAAGUUGUAGAAGGUUUUCUAGAAAAUGAAAGAUGUCGUUGGAAAGCUGGUUUGAAAGAAUGCAAUUUUCGUGCAAGAGUUGUUAACUUUGAGUAGAAGGUUUUCUAGAAAAUGAAAGAUGUCGUUGGAAAGCUGGUUUGAAGGAAUACAAUUUUCUUGCAAGGGUUGUUAACUUUGAGUCUGCAAUGAGAGAAUUAUGGUUGUUUAAAGUCUAGAUGUGAAAUUUGUACCUACUGUCACUCUUUCAAGCAUACAAAGAGUUGUAGAAAGGCAUUUAACAAUCGGAAGGUGGAGUUGGAAAGCUGACUUGAAGGAAUUCAGCUAUUGUGCAAGAUUUGAUAAAAUCAGAUCUAAAGUGAGGAAGAAAUGGCUAGUCGAAGUCAAAGCUUGCAAAUUAAGAUAGUAAGUAAACCGAAUUAUUGAUGGUUAUGUUUUGAGCCAUUUUUUUUGAGCAUUUUUGAAUGAAUUUUGGCUCAAACUUGCCAAAAGUGUAGUUAUAAUAUUGAGAAGCUACACAAAAAAAAUUUCAUAUCAUUUGAGUGUUGGGUUUGUAAGAAAUUGCAAAAUCAGUACAUAGGAGUUUGUAAGUCAACAUGUAAAGGCCGUGCUACUGAAAUUGUGUUAUCUAGAGUUUUGUAAAGAAUCAACCGUUGAAAAUUGGAAAUAAAAGAUUUAAGAGUACUGCCUUACUUCUUAAAUAAUUUGAGCUCAAUCUAACGGUUGGAUUGAGAAUUAUCAAAUUUUAAAGUUUAGUGCAUCAAAGGGAUUUGGUAUUGAAGGAAUUUUGGUAUUAUAAGGAUUUUAUUACUACAAAAAGGGUUUUGGAAAUUACAAAAGAUUUAGAAAUUAUUGGCUGAUUUUACUAUUAUUGGAGGUCUAGUAAUUAUUAUUUAUUUCUAUAAUUUUUACUAUUAUUGGAAGUCUGGUAAUUAUUAUUUAUUACUAUAAUUUUUAC